AUGUAGAUCAUUUCCAUUGCCACAGAAAGUUCUACUGGACAGUGCUGGUAGGGUAUUAAAGGUCUUUGUAGGGACUUCAGCUUUUACUCUGAGUAAAUAGAAAGCCAUUGGAGGGUUUUAAGCAGAGGAGGAACAUGCUCUGACUUAUGAUUUCGAAAGAUCACUGUUGAGAAUAGACUGUAAGGGGGCAAUGGUGAAAGUUGAUAGACCAUUAAUAGUCUAGAUGAGAGAUGACCAUGUCUUCGAUGAGGGGGUAGGAGUGAUGAUGAUGAUAAAUUAUUGGAUUUUGGAUAUAUUUUGAAGGCAGAACCAAUAGGCUUUUCUGAUGAAAAUGAUGUGAUAUGAGAAAAAAAUGACAAAAAGGUUGUGGGUGAUGAUGAGAGAAGAGAAUACAAGGCCAAAGAGAAGGGAUUUCCCUUGUUGUGGAGGAGUCUCACUCACCUUGAAGCAGGAGGGAAAGCAGGGAUCUGGGUGGAAAAAGAUCUAGAGAAUCCUCAUCUAAGCAGAAGAUGAAGGAGUAAAGAGAGAAAGAUGGGUGUAUUGGAAGCUUGCGGGUGAUGGAGAAAGUUUCAAAUAAUUCUUGGAAAAUAAGUUGAAAAAAGAAACGUAACACAGUUGUUAGAGCAGGGCAUGAUUGCUUGUGCCUAUAGUCCCAGCUACUUGGGAUCCUGAGGCAGGAGGAUCUCUUGAGCCCAGGAGAUGGAGGCUGCGUUGAGCUGUGUUUAUGCCACUGCACUCCAGCCUAAGCGACAGAGCAAGACUCCAUUUCUUAAAAAUAAAACAAAAAUGUAGUUGUUAGUAUUGAGGGCCCAUAAGAAGUUGGUGAUGAUGAACCUAUCUACGCUUUUGAUCACCUCCAGCAGAGUUUGACUGUUGCGUGCAAGCAAAGAGAAAGGAGAUGGCGGGGUUCAAUGAGGGCUGUCGUUUUCCUAGAUAGGUUUGUAGAAAAAACAGAGAGGAAGGGAGUUUAAGGGAUUGGCAAAAAGGAUAUAGUAAUAACAGACCAUGGAAUAAAAAUUGAGUAAGAAGGAAAGUGAAAACAGCUGAAGGCUAAUGAAUUGGGAGAAAGCAGAUGGAUCAAUAGACUGGAGGCCCCAAUAUUUCUAAGAGCAGUUGGAGUUGUUGUCAUGCAAGUUGGAAGGAAAGAUGCUUAUCCAAAAGCUGAAUGCCUGAAUCAGUAAUCUUGCGGCAGAGCUAUUGUAGGUGAUGACAAGGUCAGUCCUUUGAAGUCUAUGCAUAUAUAUCUUCAUUAUAGGCUGACUUGCCAAGUCUUAGAAUUUUUACAAUAUAACCUCACUGUGGAUCUCAUCUAAGCAGGUUUGGUAACCAAAAGCUCAAGAGCGUGAGAUUGAGACCCCAGAGAGCUCAUAGCCUGUCACAAACCAGCUGUGUAACCACGGACCUUGAGGAAAUGAACCUUAUGGUCCCUUCCGUCUCUAAUCUGUGACUCCAUAGCCCCAUUAUAAUAUAGCCUUUUCCCAAACACUGACCUUCAACAUAGACCCUGGGGGAUUUUUCUAUUAAAAAUUUGCAACUCUGCACAUUUUUAUCUGCUGAUGCCUCUUGGAAUAUUAAAUGCUUAGAAAGCUGUCGUCGGGAUCACAUUCUGGAAUCUUGACCAUGUAGUCAUCUGAGUGGGUGUGACAGGAAGUAUACACCAGCAGCAUUUGUGUCUGAGUGUCCUUCAGACACUGGGAUGGCUGCACCUUUACCCGUCCUCUCCAACUCUCUCCACCUAGAAAGUAUUCUUUUCUCUUAAUUUUGUUAGAGUUAUAUAGGAAUGCUCCUUCAGCAGAAAUGACAGAGGCUGUUGCUCUCAGAAUCAAAUGCAAUAAUGUGACCUGUAAAUUCCUGUGAAUAUUUGGAUAUUUUAGCGAUAUUUGUUUAUUCAGAAGAGAUUCUGGAUGCAGAACUCUCCUCCUCUCUGUUCUCUAACCCUGCUUUCCACCAUCAUUCUUCUCUCUCUAGGGCACAGAGAGAAUUAAGAACAACCUAAGGGUCAUUACAAUGAUCUAACUGCCUUACCUGCUUUUGAACUGGUUGAGCCUCUUGUGGGACCGAAAACAAAAGAAGGGUGUUGAAAUGCAAAUAGAUAACUCUGGGUCCCAGUCCCUGACUGCAAAAGGAAGCCAAAACUGACAACAACGUCUCCUUCUCUACGGAGGUUUGUAGAAAGGCUGUACAAAAAUCUCACAAGAUGUAUUUCUUCUCGUGGACUGGAGUCCCAAGGUGCUUAAGAGCUCUUCAAUUUGUUAAUGGAAAGAAACACCAUUUACACCGGAUGGCUACAAAGCAACCUUAUUCUGGAUCCAGUUGAAAAUCAGGCAUUGCAUCCAGUUAUCAUGGCUUUAAUCUUAAUGCCUUCCCUGCACUGUUUUGGGAAUAUCUUAAUACUGCUAUUUUUGAAGAGUCCAGCUCAGUUAUUCUGCAGAAUGUCUGUUGAUUUGGCUUUGCUGUUUCCUCAUAAGUAGAUCCAGAUUAUACGUUUUUGUUGAUGUUGGGUUCUUCUCAGUGAAUCACAUCCGAUGAUGUCAGCACGAGGCCUGAUCAUUUGGUUUAGGUAGCUUUCACUAGACUUUUUCAUUGUAAAGGUACCUAUCCCUUUUCUAAUUAAUAAGUAAUAUGUUGGGUGAUAGUUUGUGUGUGAAUAUCCUUUUCUCCAGUGACCUUUCAUCCAAUGGUUUCAGCAUUUUAAAUGAUCCUGGGCUGAGUCAGUUUUCAGUGGUGGCUGCAGACUUGUGGUUUUCCAAUUCUUUCAUCACUUUUACAUUUAUUAAUUGGCAGUCUAUGACUUCUUAUAGCCACAUAAAGAUAAUUCAGGAAUUAUCUGAACCUAUGAAUGUUACCUUAUUUGGAAAAAGAGUCUUUGCAGAUACAAUUCAAUUAAGAAUCUUGAGAUGAGGAGAUUAUCCUGGAUUAUCCAAUGGGCCCUAAAUCCAAUGACAAAUGUCCUUGGCAGAGGGAGAUUUGAGACAGGAGAAGAGAAGACACGAAGGAGGGAAGGAAGUGAUGUGACCACAGAGGCAGCGAUUGGAGUGAUGUAGUCACAAGCCAAGGAGCACCAACAGCCACCAGGAGCUGGAAGAGCCCAAGAGUAUAUACUAAUACCUGGAUUUGGGACUUGGGACUUCUGGUCUCUAGAAGUAGGAAAGAAUAAACAUCUGUUUUUUGUUUGUUUGUUUGUUUUUUCUUUUUUUUGAGUCAGGGUCUUGCUCUGUCACCCAGGUUGAAGUGCAGGGGUGUGAUCACGGCUCACUGCAGCCUUGACCUCCUGGUCC
rnacentral:lncRNA from 10 species